AACGAACGCUGGCGGCGCGUCUUAAACAUGCAAGUCGUACGAGAAUCCCGGUGCUUGCAUUGGGAGGAGAGUGGCGAACGGGUGAGUAACACGUGGAUAAUCUGCCUCUAGGAUUGGGGAUAACUGCUCGAAAGGGCGGCUAAUACCGAAUAAGAUGGUAGUCACACAAGUGGCAGCCAUUAAAGGUGGGGACCGCAAGGCCUACUGCCUGGAGAUGAGUCCGCGGCCCAUUAGCUAGUUGGUAGGGUAACGGCCUACAAAGGCAACGAUGGGUAGCCGGCCUGAGAGGGUGAACGGCCACAUUGGGACUGAGAUACGGGCCCAGACUCCUACGGGAGGCUG
rnacentral:rRNA from 1 species